rnacentral:rRNA from 1 species
AACGAACGCUGGCGGCAUGCCUAACACAUGCAAGUCGAGCGCAUGUAGCAAUACAUGAGUGGCGAACGGGUGAGUAACGCGUGGGAACCUGCCUAGUGGUAGGGAAUAACCGCGGGAAACUGCGGCUAAUACCCUAUGAGCCCUCCGGGGGAAAGAUUUAUCGCCAUUAGAGGGGCCCGCGUCGGAUUAGCUAGUUGGUGGGGUAACGGCCCACCAAGGCGACGAUCCGUAGCUGGCUGAGAGGAUGAUCAGCCACACUGGGACUGAGAUACGGCCCAGACUCCUACGGGAGGCAGCAGUGGGGAAUAUUGGACAAUGGGGCAACCCUGAUCCAGCAAUGCCGCGUGAGUGAAGAAGGCCUUAGGGUUGU